GAUGAACGCUGGCGGCGUGCCUAAUACAUGCAAGUCGAGCGAACAGACGAGGAGCUUGCUCCUCUGACGUUAGCGGCGGACGGGUGAGUAACACGUGGAUAACCUACCUAUAAGACUGGGAUAACUUCGGGAAACCGGAGCUAAUACCGGAUAACAUUUUGAACCGCAUGGUUCAACAGUGAAAGACGGUCUUGCUGUCACUUAUAGGUGGAUCCGCGCCGCAUUAGCUAGUUGGUAAGGUAACGGCUUACCAAGGCAACGAUGCGUAGCCGACCUGAGAGGGUGAUCGGGCACACUGGAACUGAGACACGGUCCAGACUCCUACGGGAGGCAGCAGUAGGGAAUCUUCCGCAAUGGGCGAAAGCCUGACGGAGCAACGCCGCGUGAGUGAUGAAGGUCUUCGGAUCGUAAAACUCUGUUAUUAGGGAAGAACAAAUGUGUAAGUAACUAUGCACGUCUUGACGGUACCGAAUCAGAAAGCCACGGCUAACUACGUG
rnacentral:rRNA from 1 species